CAGGAAAUGACAUGGCAGGGAGACUCAUACACAAACAAGGGAAGAAGGAAGUGGGCCCUCUCUUCCUCCAGAUUCGCCAUGUAAUCCACCGGUAAGGGAGGAUGCCAAUGGAAGGUGUCCAGUAAGAUAAGUCUUAUAACACAAAUAGAUUUAUGGUAAUUAAGACUGAGCUAACAGAUGAGAAUCCUAGUCAUUGGCCAAGCAGCAUUUGUACCUAAUCAUCUUCCUCUCUGUUAAGACGAGCCUGAGGAUGCUGACUGAGUUUGUAUCGUGUAGAAUGCAGCUUGUGGACUCUCUACUGCCAGAAGAUGACACACUAUUUGGAGUUCAUUCUCUCCUCUGCUACUGGCCUCUUGGGCAAAGAACUGCCCCCACCCCGACUGCUAACCUUGGUCAUGCUGUCCUAACUGUGCUUGCAGGAGAUAAACUUAAAGAAGACUGCUUAACCCUGCCCAGUCAAAGUUUUGACUAUGAUUCAAAUCACUUGAGGACACCAGCUCUGCCUAUACUAUGGAUUGAAAGACCAGCUG
ensembl:lncRNA